GAUAGCUCAGUUGGUGGAGUGUUGGAUUUGUAAUCCAAAGAUCAAUGGGUUUGAUACCUGUACAGACCA